ACGACAUCUCCAAAUAAACUGCAGCGCGGCCCCGGAACAAAUCCCUUCAGUGAAGGUUCACAUGAACAAAUCUCCCACCUCCUAACUGAUAAAGACGAGGACGGCUGGAUAAUUAAUCUGCAAGCUGUCUGUAACAGACGACACGUUCUUUACUUCCGGCUGGGAAUGCAUUUAUAUUAUACAAUAUCAUCUUCAAUUAGUUCCAACUAUUUUAUCAUCAAGCGUGUCAAAUAGGCAUGGACGUUGUGAAACAAACAAUGAAGACAUAUGGCACACAAAAGAGCUCGGCACAUGUA